AUACGGAGGAUGCGAGCGUUAUCCGGAUUUAUUGGGUUUAAAGGGAGCGUAGGCGGGAGCUUAAGUCAGCGGUUAAAUGGUGCGGCUCAACCGUGCCCUGCCGUUGAAACUGGGUUUCUUGAGAGUGCAAGAGGCGGAUGGAAUUCAUGGUGUAGCGGUGAAAUGCUUAGAUAUCAUGAAGAACUCCGAUUGCGAAGGCAGUCCGCUGGGGCACGUCUGACGCUGAUGCUCGAAGGUGCGGGAAUCAAGCAGGAUUAGAUACCCUGGUAGUCCGCACGGUAAACGAUGAUUACCCGCUGUCGGCGGUAGACAGUCGGCGGCCAAGCGAAAGCGAUAAGUAAUCCACCUAGGGAGUACGCCGGCAACGGUGAAACUCAAAUGAAUUGACGGGG
rnacentral:rRNA from 1 species